rnacentral:rRNA from 1 species
ACGCACGUGUGAAACUUGAAGGAAUUGACGGAAGGGCACCACAAGAACGCGUGGAGCAUGUGGCUUAAUUUGACCCAACGCGGGAAAUCUUACCGGGUCCGGACACACUGAGGAUUGACAGGCAAAAUUAUUUAUAUGCCUAAUUUUUUUUAGGUAUUUUAUAUGCAAAUAUGCUAGUCCUUUCAUGAUUAUGUGAUAGGUGGUGCAUGGCCGUUCUUAGUUCGUGGAGUGAUCUGUCUGCUUAAUUGCGUUUCACCAAGGGCUUAUAAAAACGUACGUUGUGGCGCUUCGAUCCCGCUUUUUAUUAAGUGUGUGGUCUUUGUGUUUACGCGUACAAAUAGGCCCUGAAAGCAACGAACGUGACCG